UACGUAGGUGGCAAGCGUUGUCCGGAUUUACUGGGCGUAAAGAGCGCGCAGGCGGUCGUUCAAGUCGCGUGUGAAAGCCCCCCGGCUCAACUGGGGAGGGUCACGCGAUACUGAUCGACUCGAAGGCAGGAGAGGGAAGUGGAAUUCCGAGUGUAGAGGUGAAAUUCGUAGAUAUUCGGAAGAACACCAGUGGCGAAGGCGGCUCACUGGACAUGUAUUGACGCUGAGGUGCGAAAGCGUGGGGGAGCAAAACAGG
rnacentral:rRNA from 1 species